AGCAGAGGUGCCAGCUUGCAAGGACGAUUUGAGGGGGGGCGUCGUCCUGCGUGUGAGCAUCGCACCUCCCUGCCUAAGCCGGGCUGAAGCUUCCCAGGCUUUGGGAAGGAGGUGCCUGGGGAACAUCUGGGGGGACUAGCCUAGUCCCCCUAGUCCACUGACCACACAUCAUUGACGUGGAGGUCUGUAUCAAAGCAUACGUUCUAACUUUUGAAUAGCCUCUCAGUUAACAGAAACUUGGAGAUAGGUAUGCCAUAGUUUGAUUAUGACUGUUUCUUUAAAAGCUCUUCAUCUCCAAUGGCUCAGUGCUCCAUUUGUCUGCUGUCCUCUCCCCGUAAAGGUAAAGGACCCCUGACAGUUAAGUCCAGUCACGAACGACUCUGGGGUUGCGGCGCUCAUCUCGCUUUACUGGCCGAGGGAGCAUAACUAAGCUGCUUCUGGCGAAACCAGAGCAGCGCAUAGAAACUCCAUUUACCUUCCCGCCGGAGCGCUACCUAUUUAUCUACUUGCACUUUGACGGGCUUUCGAACUGCUAGGUUGGCAGGAGCAGGGACUGAACAACAGGAACUCACCCCGUCACGGGGAUUCAAACUGCUGACCUUCUGAUCGGCAAGCCGUAGGCUCUGUGGUUUAACCCACAGCGCCACCCGCGUCCUGCUGGUUCAGUACUUGCAUGCUAUUCUUUGAUGGUUCAUAAAGACUUGGGACCCGCAACGUUUGAAACUGCAAUAGAGCAACAACUGCCUAGAACGUAUGGGUUGUAUUGAAUUAAGUCCUACUCUGAGCAGACUUACUGAAAUUAAAUAAACCUAAGUUAGUAAUUUCCAUUACAUGCAGCGGAUCUACUCUGAGUAUGACUAACAUUGGACGCAACUCUCAUGUGCUAGAUAGUACUGAGCUUAAGACUCUUUUGUAGAAAAGCACAGGCCCUAAACACAAUGGGUUGGAUUCAGCUAAUGAGUCCCAGAGGCACCAGCCCUCUGUGAUGGCACUGUGGGGCUUUCCCUCAUGCCCCCUUGAAAUUAGCUCGUAUGUGAGUAAAGAGAAGGGGGGCUGUUCCAUCUGACAAGCUGCAGUGCUUGUGUCAAGCGGGACACUCACCGGAAUGUGAUGUUUAAUUCUGCCCAGUGUUUAUACAUACAUACAUAGCCCUACAGGUAAAUUGUAUGGAAUUCCGCAAAAGGUGAUAUUUAUUUGAAAAGAGGGGCCCAUGCUAAUUCCCUCUUUCCUUGGUCUUGAUUCACUUCAGUAUGAUAUUCAUUUCUGUUUGUUCCUUUGUGGAAGACAAUCAAAAUUCUAGCCAUGAGUAUAGGGAGGGGGCAAAUCUGGGGUGUGAGAAUAUAUAAAAGAUUAUUAAGCUUUAGACAGAGUAGUGUGUAACUAUGUGGGAUGUUUUUUGAAUUUAAAUUCAUAGCUUUCUGUCUGGUGGAUUCGGUAAAACGAGUAUAUUAUUAGGGCUGCAAAAAACCCCAACCCCCCCCCCAACUUCUUUUCCAUAAAACAUAGCAAUUUCUGGUGCAUCAAACAGUAUUAGUUAAAGUGUUGAUUGUGUGAAAGGGCACUGGAUACCAGAUGUUUACCUACAGUAGCUGAGCCUCCACAGAGUUGUGAAGUUGAAGUAUCACAUGAAGAUAACUUUUGAUACAUUGACUUUAUUAUAGCGUCUGAGUACUGCAUGCCAGUUCAGUGUAGAGCAACAUCUGUGCACCUUUUGGAUGCUAAUUGGCUCCACGGAGCAUUGUUUUACGUUGAAACGGUUCUUGUUGCCAUUCUGCAUUUGGGGUGGCUCUGCAUCAUUGACUUUGCUCGGCUGUGCUGGUUCAUAAGGGCCAUAGCUCAGUGGUAGAGCAUCUGCUUUGCAUUCAGAAGGUCCCAGGUUCAAUCCUCAGCAUCUCACAGUAGAGCUGGAAAUGGCCCCUGUCUGACACACUGGAGAGUCACUGGCAAUCAGUAUAAGGCAAUACUAGGCUAGAUCAAUCAGUGGUCUUCCUGUGUUCCUAUGACUGUCACUUAAAGAGGAAGUUAAGCUUGGAUGUAAUUUGCCCCCUGAACGGCAGGUGUAAAUUGACUCACUUUUGGGUCAGAGGCAGGAUGUUGCCACCCACAUAUUCUCGGGGCUCAGGAAGGGAUUGUUUAUGUCUCCGUGCAGCUGGUUGGUUUUGACCUGAGCUUUAAAUCUGCAAUCCUACACACACUAUAAGCUCUACUGAAAUCAAUAAAUAUAGUUAGAAUCUAGAUGUGGGUUAGCAUAAUAAUAUGGCACACUCUAUACUUAAUUGUAUUUUUCGCCCAAUAAGUAUAUAUAUUGGUGUCUGAUUUUUAUUAUUAUUUUAUAGCUACAGUUAAUACUAAAGGGUUGUUACCUGAUGUGUUUAGGUAGUUAACUGUUACUUUUUUUUUUACAGGUUUUCUUUUGCAUAAUAAUAAUAAUAAUAAUAAUAAACAACAACAACAACAUAGCAUAUAUAAAACAUAGUAUACAGCAUAUAUAAAGCAUGCAUCUUCUUUUGCAUCUUUUUAUCGUUGAAGCAGAUAAUAGGUGAAUGGCUGAGAGAAGAUCAUGACAUUUUCAUUAUGUUGACAUGCCAGAAAGAAUUUCUGUCUCUCACCGUAUAUAAUGCACGUCUCUUUAUUUAUCGGAGAAAAGGGCUAUUAUUUUGUGGAUCUUAAAUAAAUAUGCCCUUUAGGAUUCUGCUGAAAAACCCAUAACAGCAUGUACAAUAAAUUCUAACAGAGACAAAUAUUUGAAGAAUGACUUCUUUAUAUGAGUAUUUUGGAAUUGUCCAGUUUGUAAAAUAUUGUGUUGCCGUUUCCACUCUACUCCUUCUUCAUGAAGGAUGCAAAAUGAGGAGGAGGAGGAGGAGGAGGAGGAGAGCUCAUGCAGGGAGGGAGGCCAACUGGAGGGCAUGCUAUUGCCCAAGUGCCCCAUCAACAAACAACAAACCUGUAGCUGGUCCUGCAGAUAUAUACUGACUUAGUUGUAGACAGCGACAAAUAACUUGAUUGCAAUAUCCCAAUGGCCACUUUCUCACACAUAACACAUGAAUGGAAUCUGCACACUGAAAGAAGCAGGAAGAAGACACUGCUGGCCCAGCCCUCAACAUUGUGCAACUUCCCUGGCCACCCACCCCAACAUCUAUAUCAGGGGUCAGCAAACUUUUUCAGCAGGGUGGCGGUCCACUGUCCCUCAGACCUUGUAGGUGGCCAGACUAUAUUUUGGGAAAAAAUAAUAAUGAAUUCCUAUUCCCCACAAAUAACCCAGAGGUGCAUUUUAAAUAAAAGCAGACAUUCUACUCAUGUAAAAACACGCUGAUUCCCAGACCGUCCGCGGGCCGGAUUUAGAAGGCGAUUGGGCUGGAUCCGGCCCCCAGGCCUUAGUUUGCCUACCCAUGAUCUGUAUGUUAGGCAUGAAACCCUACGCAUGUAGACCUCUCCAGGAGCUGGAACCAUGCAUGAUCAAGAAGCUUAACUGUGUAGACGUAUGCUGCUCAAAUGUCUGUGCCUAAUUUGUAGGUUUCAAGGGGCACAGCCAAUGAAACUGUUUGACAUUGAUGCGGGCUAGCAGCACAGCCCCCACUGCUUCUUUCAACAACUGGGUUCCUUUCACACAUACCUCGUGUUGUGGGAGGGGGGCUGAUGAUGAUCAUCCUUGUUAUCAGUUGCCUCAUGCAAUAGAUCUCUGGGUGACAUGCAAUACAAUAUAAAACAAAACAGUUAAAAACACAUCAAAAUACAAACUAUUUAUCAUCAAAGUCAAGCUAGGCAGCAACAACAAAAACAACUAGCAGUUAGUGAAUGUUUGUAAAUAGAGAGUAGUUAUACUGUUGCUCUGUUGCUACCCAAAUAAACAUCCCUCAAACCAACAAGGCCAAGUUGUAUUGCAGAAAGAGAAAUAUGUCAAUAGCAAUCCAUGCAGUUAUGGGGAGAAAUGAAGAAGGAUCAUAUGCACAGCUCCUGUGGAAUUGAAACAUACUCUUGUUUUCUUAAAUUGAUUUGAUGUAUUAUAUUUCUAUGCUGUUAUUCAUUCAAAACAUAAUAGAGCAUCACAAAAUACAGCAUAAAUCAUUUAAAAUAAUUAACAAAUCACAAAUAAAGCAAUUGCAGUCUAUAAAACACUAUCAACGAAACAGCAAUUUAAAAAUAAGCUAAACAUCACAAUUACAGCGAAGAGUCAUAUUGUACGAUAUAAAAGAUUAAUAUGGCAUCUACCGUAUUUUUAAGUAUAUGAGAUGCCGCCAUGUAUAAGACUUUUGGGGACCCCAGAUUUAGAAAAUGAGGGGAGAUGGACCGGAGUUGUUGAGCUUUUUUUGGAGGGAGAUGCCCCCAAAAUCACUGAAGAAAACAAGUGUCUUGACACCAGCAUCUGCCAAUCAAACACAAUCAAAUUGCCGAAGCAGCAUCCAACUAUAACCCACACAAUCGCCGCUAACAAGCUCCUGCUGCAACCAGCCACCCGUCACACAUAUGUACUGUCUGUGUAUAAGAUGCUCCAAGAUUUAAAAACUUAUUUUAAAGUACAAAAACAUAGUCUUAUACAUGGAAAAGUAUGGUAUAAUCUAUAAUGCCAUAUUAAUAACAUAGCGACUAAAAAAAUAAGCAAGGCACUGUUAAGUUCAUAUGCACAUUCCCCACGGUCCCAUGACUUAAAAUCUUUCACUCUAUCCAAUUCAUUAAAAUACACAUAAAAGUACAUAUAAUGCCAGUUGCUAAGCCAGCUCAAGUCAUUUAGGGUGACAGUAUCUUGGCCAGGUACUAAAUCUGAUAGGUAAAUACCACAGUGCUAGAGACUGGAAUUUCUUCAGAAUAAGUGCAUGAUGCUUAGUUAUUUUUGAGCUACCCAGCCACCACCCUUCCCCAUUUUUACUGGAUAGAUGAUUCAGAAAGCAAUCCUCCCAAUGACUAAACCUGCUGAAACCUUCCAAGGGGGAAAUAGUUCCUUUUUGAAACUGUGAUGAAAAGAACACUUGUGCAUUCAUCCCUGUGGUGUAUUCAAACCUGCCAUGAGGUACAGCACUUUUUGGAACAUUACACAAACUUCCUUGUUUUAAAGCAUGCACUAGUUCAGAAUAUGCAAACAAGAACUGAAAGAGACCUUGCAGGCCAGUUCUGCGUAAGCAGGAAACCCAAUAUUUACACAAUAAUCAAUAGGGCAGCGAGCACAAAGAUCAGCAGUGACUUCUUCUACAGAGUGUGGUUUAAACCCAGUAGGAGAAGCUAGAAUCUUCUCUUAUAUUUCCUAGGGAGACCAAUAAAAUCUAGGAUAGUUUUGAAUUAGAAUGGGGGUGGGGGAGAGAGAAAGUAAACUCGCUUAAAAUCUUUCCAUCUAGUUCAGAGCUACAACCUUAUUGUAUAUCUAUACAGAAUAUAAGGUUCUGUAAACAUGGGUUUUUGGGUGGUGGGGUAUGUUGCCUGAUUUUGCUUUAAUAUAAUGGGUGGGGGAAGAAGGUGUUAAUAAAGUAUCAGCUAUGAUUACUGUAACUGCUACUAUUAUUUCUCAACAGGGAAUAAGCCAUGUGAGAAACUGUAGACUCGAUCAUGUUGUGACUCAGGGUGUGGCACUGUGUGAUUUUUUUUUUUUAAAGCACUCAGUGAUACCCUAGCACAGCGGUUCUCAAACUCUGGGUCCCCAGAUGUUGUUGAACUACAACUCCCAUCAUCCCUGAGCUCUGGCCAUGCUAGCUAGGGGUGAUGGGAAUUGUAGUUCAACAACAUCUGGGGACCCACAGGUUGAGAAAAGCUGUAUGAGUACUUUCCAUAUAACCCUUUCAUCAAAACAGUCACUGGUGUGUGUGUGUUUUCUUGCAGUAAUAUAUGCACACAUACAACUCAGCACAAGCUCCCGACCAAUAUAUGGGGCUAAUGUAUAAUUUCCAUCUGCUCUGCAGCCCCAGAGCAACUAGCAGUUGGAGCUAAUUGUUUGUUUCUGGUUGGGAGGAGGGAAGCAGGCUCCUUGCAGCUGCUCCUUUUGGGGCUGAUGGAAUGGGCCAUGCUGAUGCGCGCCCUUGACAUGACAUCCCCGUCCCUCGGUUGAUGGCGGAGGCCCAGUGAAAAUUGCCACAAACUACCAUGGUGCUUUUAACUGAGGAUAGCUCAAGACCGCUGCCUAGGGAACUGUUUAAAGAGUGUAAAACUGCUAAAGAAGAAGGAAAAGACUUUUCCGGUGCUACCCUGACACACAUUCUUCUACUGAAGAGAAAGAGCAACAAGAAGGCAAAAGGUAUCAUGCUGUAAGGAGGCAAAGAAGAAGCAAGGGAAAAGGCAGAGAUUUAGCCUGCAAGCAAGAGGUUCAACACUAUGGGUGAACAAGGAAUUUGAAAUCUCACUGACACAUGGAGGGGAGGUACCAUGCUGGUACCAUGAGAUAAGUAAAGCAAUAAAGGAGGUUCUUCUUCUGGGUUCAACAACCCAUGGGUGACAUAGAAUGGGUAAAGCGAACUAACUAGGGAUUUGAAACAUCAACAUAGUUGGGCGUUGUUUGGAUCAUUUUUAGUUGAUGCUGCCUGAGGAUGUUGACAAGGCACUCGUGGUGAUUCGUUGGACCAUGUGCUCCAUUGAGCACACAGUUUAAUCUGGCCAUCAGGGCUGGAAGAAGAUACCUUCUUGAUGCAGAAUCACUCUGAAAUGUUCUGCAUAAAAAAGGAAAGAAAUGAUCACAAUAGCGGUAGUGGGUGUACAUUCUCACCUCCCCACUCCAGCAGCCCCAGUAAAGAUGGUGUAGCCAGGUCUGUCUGAGAAAAGAAGCAGUGUAGUUGAAAAUAACUUGUAGUUGUGUGUCAGAGAGUAAGACAAACUGAAAGCUGAGUUUUGGACUUCAUACGCUAUACAAACACUAUGCAGUGAUGGUUCCCUCUGGUCUUGAGAUCAGAUUGUGGGCAGUGGGAUUUGCUGUUGGAGUGUUUCAGCUGUGUGCUUCCACUGUGCUUAAACUGUGUAUUUUCAAAUGUAGUCAAAUAUUGCGCACACAC